GCUGGGCGCGGUGUUGCCUGCCUGUAGUUCCAGCUACUUGGGAGGCUGAGGUGGGAGGAUUGCCUGAGCCCAGGAGUUCUGGGCUGUAGUGUGCUCUGCUGAUCAGGUGUCUGCACUAAGUUGGGCAUCAAUAUGGUGACCUCCCAGAAGCAGGGGACCACCAGGUUGCCUAAGGAGGGGUAAACUGGCCCAGGUUGGAAGUGGAGCAGGUCAAAACUCCUGUGCUGAUCAGUAGUGGGAUUGCACCUAUGAAUAGCCACUGCUUUCCAGCCUGGGCAACAUAGCGAGACCCCUAUCUGU
rnacentral:SRP_RNA from 1 species